rnacentral:tRNA from 1 species
GAGGGUGUAGCUCAGUGGUAGAGUGUGUGUUUAGCAUGUGCAAGGCCCUGGUUUCAAUCCCCAGCACCAUUA